rnacentral:rRNA from 1 species
UACGUAGGGUGCGAGCGUUGUCCGGAAUUAUUGGGCGUAAAGAGCUCGUAGGCGGUUUGUCGCGUCUGCUGUGAAAACUGGGGGCUCAACCCCCCAGCCUGCAGUGGGUACGGGCAGACUAGAGUGCGGUAGGGGAGAUUGGAAUUCCUGGUGUAGCGGUGGAAUGCGCAGAUAUCAGGAGGAACACCGAUGGCGAAGGCAGAUCUCUGGGCCGUAACUGACGCUGAGGAGCGAAAGCAUGGGGAGCGAACAGG